rnacentral:rRNA from 1 species
CCUACGGGUGGCAGCAGUGAGGAAUAUUGGUCAAUGGGCGGAAGCCUGAACCAGCCAAGUCGCGUGAGGGAUUAAGGCCCUGCGGGUCGUAAACCUCUUUUGCCGGGGAGCAGAGGUCCGGACGUGUCCGGGCCGGGAGAGUAACCGGAGAAAAAGCAUCGGCUAACUCCGUGCCAGCAGCCGCGGUAAUACGGAGGAUGCGAGCGUUCUCCGUAUUUAUUGGGUUUAAAGGGUGCGUAGGCGGGCAUUUAAGACGGCGGUCAAAUGUCGGGGCUCAACCCCGGCCUGCCGUCGGAACUGGGUGACUGGAGUGGGCGAGAAGUAUGCGGAAUGCGUGGUGUAGCGGUGAAAUGCAUAGAUAUCACGCAGAACCCCGAUUGCGAAGGCAGCAUACCGGCGCCCUACUGACGCUGAGGCACGAAAGUGCGGGUAUCGAACAGGAUUAGAUACCCCUGUAGUC